AUUGAACGCUGGCGGCAGGCUUAACACAUGCAAGUCGAGCGGAGUGAUGGUGCUUGCACUAUUACUUAGCGGCGGACGGGUGAGUAAUGCUUAGGAAUCUGCCAUUUAGUGGGGGACAACAUUCCGAAAGGAAUGCUAAUACCGCAUACGUCCUACGGGAGAAAGCAGGGGAUCUUCGGACCUUGCGCUAAAUGAUGAGCCUAAGUCGGAUUAGCUAGUUGGUGGGGUAAAGGCCUACCAAGGCGACGAUCUGUAGCGGGUCUGAGAGGAUGAUCCGCCACACUGGGACUGGGACACGGCCCAGACUCGUACGGGAGGCAGCAGUGGGGAAUAUUGGACAAUGGGCGGAAGCCUGAUCCAGCCAUGCCGCGUGUGUGAAGAAGGCCUUUUGGUUGUAAAGCACUUUAAGCGAGGAGGAGGCUCUCCUAGUUAAUACCUAGGAAGAGUGGACGUUACUCGCAGAAUAAGCACCGGCUAACUCUGUGCCAGCCGCCGCGGUAAGAC
rnacentral:rRNA from 1 species